rnacentral:lncRNA from 1 species
AGAUUUGAUCUACACUAUUCAAAGUAUUGGGAAACUAAAUUUCAUAAUUUUUUGACAUCAUUUACUUAUCAAACAAGUAGUCUAAAAAUAAACGGCUGAAAAUAAAAAUCUCAUAAAAAUGAUAAUAAAAGACUUGAAUUUAUGAUCAAAUGUACUAAUCAUACUCUAAAUAGUGAAAAAAAUUUUCUAUAAAAAUUUCAAUGGAUUUGGAUUGUUUUACACCGUUAAAUUCAUAAACGCAACACAUCUACCAUUAAAAUUGUCAAUUGAUGUUCGGUUCGCCACCACUUCAAUCACAAACCUCGGAACUACAUCAAUCACAAACUCGAUCUCUCUAUCCGGCGGCAUCGUCGUCAGCUCCGG